rnacentral:rRNA from 1 species
CCUACGGGAGGCAGCAGUGGGGAAUAUUGGGCAAUGGGCGCAAGCCUGACCAGCAACGCCGCGUGAAGGAAGAAGGCUUUCGGGUUGUAAACUUCUUUUAAGGGGGACGAACAAAUGACGGUACCCCUUGAAUAAGCCACGGCUAACUACGUGCCAGCAGCCGCGGUAAUACGUAGGUGGCAAGCGUUAUCCGGAUUUAUUGGGUGUAAAGGGCGUGUAGGCGGGGGCGCAAGUCAGAGGUGAAAACUCAGGGCUCAACCCUGGGCGUGCAUUUGAAACUGUGAUACGUGAGUGCUGAAGAGGCGAUCGGAAUUCCGUGUGUAGCGGUGAAAUGCGUAGAUAUACGGAGGAACACCAGUGGCGAAGGCGGAUUGCUGGACAGUAACUGACGCUGAGGCGCGAAAGCGUGGGGAGCAAACAGGAUUAGAUACCCUAGUAGUC